rnacentral:rRNA from 1 species
UACGUAGGGGGCAAGCGUUGUCCGGAAUCAUUGGGCGUAAAGAGCGUGUAGGCGGCUCGAUAAGUCCGCUGUGAAAGUCCAGGGCUCAACCCUGGAAGGCCAGUGGAAACUGUCGGGCUAGAGUCCGGAAGAGGCGAGUGGAAUUCCCGGUGUAGCGGUGAAAUGCGCAGAUAUCAGGAGGAACACCGAUGGCGAAGGCAGGUCUCUGGGCCACUACUGACGCUGAGAAGCGAAAGCAUGGGGAGCGAACAGG